rnacentral:rRNA from 1 species
UACGUAGGUGGCAAGCGUUGUCCGGAAUUAUUGGGCGUAAAGCGCGCGCAGGCGGUCCUUUAAGUCUGAUGUGAAAGCCCACGGCUCAACCGUGGAGGGUCAUUGGAAACUGGGGGACUUGAGUGCAGAAGAGGAAAGCGGAAUUCCACGUGUAGCGGUGAAAUGCGUAGAGAUGUGGAGGAACACCAGUGGCGAAGGCGGCGACCUGGGUAGAUACUGACGCUGAGGUGCGAAAGCGUGGGGAGCAAACAGG